GCAAAACAAGCAGAUUUCUAAUACAACGCAGAAAUGGCCCUAGAUAUCACACAUACGUCGAGCAAACUUCUGCCAUUCGGACAUUAUUAUAGAGAUAAAUAUGUACCGGUCCAAAGACGUACAGGAUCUCGGUACACAUCCCUCACCAUGUUACAGCAAUAUAACAGACAUGGUACUGUAUUAACCUGUUGUAAAUACUGCACUCUUUGUAAAUGUCCGAUGACAUAUUGUAAUGCUUAUUGAUAUGAUUUGUAAAGUUCAUUGAGGUUUUUUGAAACAUGGUUAAAAUACAAUGUUUAGAGAAAAUUGUUGAUUAUAAAUUGUUUAUAUUGUGUUUAAAAAUGAAAAGCUUUUCUGUAUGUAAUGUUCCUUUAAUAAUGCGUAAUGCGUCACAUGACUAAGAGAGGGAGUGAAGAACUGUGGGUCAGAGAGCAAUGGAUGCGAACAGGUCGUAACACGUGCGGCUCCUUCAAAACGUAUAAUCUCUGCAUAUGGUCCUAAAGGCGCACACGGUAUUUGUUUAUAUUUGUUGCAUGUUAUAAUUUUUAUGUUUGAGUUUAUGUGCUUUAAUGUGUGUAAUGUAACGUGUUCUGUAUUGUAACAAUGAGGCAAAUUGGACUAUUUGUUAUGGGAUUCUGUUGUAAAAGAGGUGUGUUUAAGUUGUAUAUGUCUUUUAUUUGUAGUUUUCACGGUGUCUUUCUUAGACCGUGACAUCUUCGGAUCGACACAGGAAAGAGAGAGCAAAAUAAAAGUCUAAAAGACAUCUGUAUGAUUCGUGGCCGUGAUUUAUUGGAUCAGUGCAGUUACAGUGAAAACGUACCGCCGAAGUCGACGAGAGUACAGAGUAAAGAAAGACGCCAUAAGAGAAAAGACGAUAUCGCUGGUGUAGGCGGAGCUUCGGUUUGCUGAUCGACAGAUGACCGGGAGUGUUGGUUUCUGGCAUCUUUAGAGAUAUCGCGUCUUACCAGGAGAGGGCGUGAAUUACCUGUGUUGACAACAUCGCCGCAAAUCUUCGGCAAAGACUUCAGAGUCCAGCGUUACUGUGUGACGUUACUCAAUACCGGAAGAAGAGUGCGACCAUACAAACAUCAGGUUUGACUGUUAACUUUAAAAUUUCUGGACAUUUAAAAGGACUUUGAUAAAAGGGAAACGUUUCAUUUAAAUAUAAUUGUGUUUAUUUGAUUAUCAUUACAUUUACACUUUCUAUUAUUAUCAACAUCGUACAAUUCAACUGUUGUUCAUGUUCUUGCUCUGUUAUAUGAUCUGAGUUCUUAAAUGGUAUUUUAAGUGUUACUGGGAUUUUUCAGUUAAACACUGUCUUGGUCUCAAAGAGUAUAUAAAGUAGAGCUAAAAAAUAAUUAAACAAGAAGAAGAUAAAGUGCCAGGCACAAUGUCAAAUAAUGAAAGGUUGUUGCAAGGUGAGCAAAUGGAGACCAGUCAGACAGAGUUAGAAACAAUACAAGAAGUAGAGAAAGGUUCUACUUCUGCCCCUUCUAAAAAAGAACCAAGAAAGUCUUCAAGGGAAAGAAAACUAACUGAAAAAAUGCUGGAGCUUAAGCAGCAAGAAAUUUCUCAAAAGGAGAUUAAGUGGAUCAAGCUUUAUGAAAGUUGGAAAGAUCAAGCGAAAGAUACACGUGUCAAAAUAAAGGAUGAGUGUUCUGAGGAAGACUUAAGUAAAAUGAUGGAUGCCGUAGAAGGACUGGAGACACAAGUAAAAGAAAUGUAUGAAACCAUUCGUUCUCAAACAGCACCUUCUACCGAAAUUAGAAGGAAGAUGGAUUCCUGUACAGCAGUAACAGCAGACCUAAUGAGGCUACUGAAAGUACGUAUGUGUGAAGUCGGGUUAGAGGAAUUUGAUGCUACAGGAGAAAAUGCAAGAAUUCACAUGGUGCUGGAUAAAGAGUACGCCAACUCAAUAUUUGGAAGUACAAAAUCAAAACACACUGUCCAAAGUAGCCAUUCAAAAUGUUCGUCCGAAAACCUAAGCAUCGCAGCAAAAAGAGCAGAAUGUGCAGCACAACUCGCAGCAAAACAGGCUGAAAUUAAGAUGGAAGAAGCUAUAGCUGCACAAAAACAGGAGCUAAAGAGACUGGAAAACCAAAGAGAUCUACAAGUAAUAGCGGCAAAGCUUAAAGCAUACUCUGAAGCUGAUUCUAGUGACGAAAGUAGAACCACAGGUAGUGAAGUGGCCAAUAGUCCCAUUUAUUCUCCUAAAGAAAUGAAAAAGGAACAGACAUUCAUUAACAUUGACAAAGUGCAACCAAAUCAAUCUAACGAUGAUGGAUCAUUAGCACAAGCCUUGCAUGACGCAAUGGUUCUUACCAGACUACCAGCACCCGAACCCUCAGUCUUUACAGGCGAUCCACUUACAUUCUUAGAGUGGAGUUCAAGUUUUAAAGCUUUGAUUGAAAGACGAUGCACAAAUCCAGUUGAUAGGUUAUUCUAUCUAAAGAAAUACAUCAGUGGUGAAGCAAAAUGUGUACUGGAGGGAAGCUUUUUCCGAAAGGAUGAUAAAGCCUAUGAACAGGCAUGGGAGCUAUUGAACUCUAGAUAUGGUCAUCCCUUUGUAAUACAGCGGGCAUUUAGAGAAAAACUAAAUAACUGGCCCAAGAUUAGUUCUAGGGAGUCAGUUAAAUUGAGACAAUUUAGUGAUUUCCUGAUAUCCUGCAACAAUGCUAUACCACACAUCAAAGGACUUCAGGUGUUAAAUGACUGUGAAGAGAAUCAGAGAAUGGUACAAAAACUCCCUGAUUGGGUAACCUCUCAAUGGAACCGUUAUGUCACAAAGCACUUAAGAGAAACGGAGGAAUACCCUAAGUUCAAUGAGUUUGCUGAAUUUGUGGCCCGUGAGGCAGAAGUGGCAUGCAACCCUGUAACUUCCUUUAAUGCCUUGAAGUCAACAGAAGAAAGGCCCAUCAGAGACGUAAAGCGCCAAAGGGCCAACGCGUUUAUAACAAAUGUAAAGGCACCUGAUAAGUUCUGUACAGUGAUGAGGUCGAACAGUGCCGGUGAAAAUCAACCAAAGGAAUCAAAUAAAGUAAAUGUCACAUCGCCAUUUUCAGAGCCAGUUCCAUGCCUGUGUUGUGGAGACAGCCACUCCAUCCACAAAUGUCAGACGUUUGCCAAUAAGCCAGUGGAAGAGAAGAAAAGGCUUAUAUUUGAUAACAAUCUCUGCUUUGGGUGUCUUAGACGAGGACAUAAUUCGAGAGAGUGUAGAAGCAAGGCAAUUUGUAGCAUUUGUAAGAAACGUCAUCCAACCCCACUUCAUGAAGAACGCUCUUCUGCUGCAGCAGACACAUCCUCUCAUGCUAUCGAAACAGAAGAAACAACUUCUUCCCUUUCUUGCUCUGUUGACAGAGGUUGUGGUGGGAGUACAUCCAUGAUAGUUCCUGUGUGGAUUUCUUCAUCUACAAAUCCAGAAAAACAGAUCCUGGUGUAUGCCUUACUGGAUACCCAAAGCAGCAACACCUUUGUAGACAAAGAAGUAUGUGAAGAGAUAGGUGCGAGUCUAGAGCCAGUUAAGUUAAAGCUUACCACAAUGAUGGGAAAAGAUUCCAUUAUUCAGAGUGAGAGAGUCAAUGGGCUUCGAGUUAAAGGGCUUCUCUCUCAAAGUCUUGUCAACUUGCCACCCGCCUAUACCAGAGAUUUCAUUCCUCUUGAACGUUCCCACAUACCUACCUCUCAGACUGCAAAAAGGUGGAAUCAUCUAAACAGUAUAGUGCAGGAAAUGCCAAAGCUGAUGGAUUGCAAAGUCGGACUGUUGAUAGGUUACGACUGCUCAAGAGCACUGGCACCACGACAAGUCAUCACAGGAGGUGAAGAUGAGCCCUAUGCCAUUAAGACAGAUUUAGGUUGGAGUAUUGUCGGUAGCUCACCAAAGGUUGCAAAGUCUACAGAAGUAAUAGGUCUGUGCCAUCGCGUACACGUCAAGGAAGUUCCACCAUUGACACCAGCCACCAUCAUCAGAGCUCUUGAAUCAGACUUCAAGGAUACCAACCCUGGAGAAAGGAGCAUGUCACAAGAUGACAUACAAUUCAUGCAACUAUUAAAUGAGAAAACAAACUACAAUGCGGAUGGUCACUUGGAAAUGCCCCUACCCUUUAGGACACGCCCACACCUGCCAGAAAAUAAGCGGUUGGCUUUGGCACGGCUGAAGCGGUUAAAAGGGAAGCUUGAGAAAAAUCCAAAGUUCAAGGAAGACUAUGUCAAAUUCAUGGGAGGUGUUUUCAAGGAUGGUGAUGCUGAGAGAGCUGAACAACAAUCUGAAACAGGAAAUGUGUGGUAUAUCCCUCACCAAGGUGUUUACCACCCUAAAAAGCCAAACAAAAUUAGGGUAGUGUUCGACUGUUCAGCCAAGUAUGAUGGCACUGCACUAAAUGAUCAUCUGCUCGUUGGACCAGAUCUUACAAAUGGACUGACUGGAGUGCUCUGCAGGUUUCGCAAAUACCCUAUAGCAGUCAUCUGUGAUGUGGAGAAGAUGUUCCACAGGUUCCAUGUAAGCCAGGAGGACAGAGAUUAUUUACGUUUCUUGUGGUGGGAGAACGGGGAUACGAAUUCUGAGCCAAAGGAAUAUCGUAUGAAAGUCCAUCUAUUUGGAGCGGCAUCCUCACCUGGCUGCGCAAAUUAUGGAAUGAAGCAUCUUGCAAACCAAAAUGAGAAAGACUAUCCUGCAGCAGCCAACUUCAUAAGGAAAAAUUUCUAUGUUGACGAUGGCCUCGUCAGUGUUGAAGAUGUGGACACUGCCAUAAACCUAGUGAGAGAAGCACAAACUGUGUGUGCCAAAGGAAGACUGCAUCUUCAUAAAUUCAUCUCCAAUAACAGAGAAGUUUUGGAGUCAAUACCUGACAAUGAACGAGCAACUGAAAUGCAUGACGUGGAUCUCAGGCAUGAUGACCUUCCAGUCCAAACUGUGUUAGGAGUGAAGUGGAGUGCAAAUAGUGACACCUUCUCAUUUAAAGUUAUUUUGGAUGAGAAACCAGCAACGAGGCGGGGAAUUCUCUCAACUAUAGCUUCUGUGUUUGACCCACUGGGCUUUCUAGCUCCUUUCCUCCUCCUGGGAAAGAAAAUACUACAGGACAUGUGCCGAAAGGGCAUUGAAUGGGAUGAACCACUGCCAGAAGAAUUAAAGCCACGAUGGGAAAGCUGGCUAAAUGAUCUAAAGAAUCUGCAGGGUCUUCAGAUUCCAAGAUGCAUCACAUCUGGAAAAAUGGAAACGACCCAGAGAAUUGAACUUCAUCAUUUUUCCGAUGCGAGUAGUCAAGGGUAUGGUCAGUGCUCAUACAUACGAUUGCUGAGUGAAGACAAAGUACACUGCUCUUUAGUCAUUGGGAAAGCAAGGGUUGCACCCACUAAAGUUGUGACAAUACCCAGGCUUGAGUUAUCAGCUGCAGUAGUUUCUUCAGCAGUCAGCAGUAUGUUAAGGGAAGAGCUAGAACUCAAAAUCGACCAAGAAUAUUUUUGGACAGACUCAAAAGUAGUCUUGGGCUAUAUCAAUAAUGAAGCUAGAAGGUUCCACGUUUUUGUAGCCAAUAGAGUUCAAAGAAUCAGAGAAACAUCAGACCCCGCACAGUGGUACUACGUUGAUAGUGACAGUAAUCCAGCAGACCAUGCCUCCAGAGGCCUCAGUGUGUCAGAGUUGAUCAGUUCAAAUUGGUUUACUGGACCCAAGUUUUUGUGGGAAAGAGAGAUUGUCACGUCGGAGUCAGAUCCAGAGCUCUUGGUGGGUGAUCCUGAAGUAAAAGUGACACAGGUACUACAAACCAAGCUAGAAAAGGAAGAACAAUUUUUGGACAGAUUCAGUCGGUUCUCAAAAUGGCAUACAGCAUUGAAAGUGGUCGCUCGAAUCCAGCAACUAGCUAAAGGAAACAAAUUCCCAAAGCCCAUAAAUGUCGAGGACUUAAAGAAAGCAGGUGUCGCGCUUAUAAAAUUGGCACAAAAGGAUGCAUUCGAAAAAGAAAUGGAAACACUAAGUCAUGGCAAACUUCCAAAUAACAAUCAAUUUUUCCAGCUUGAUCCAGUGCUGCACGAUGGCGUUCUCAGAGUAGGGGGGCGUUUAACCAAAGCUUCCUCACCUUUGGACUUGAAGCAUCCAAUAAUCCUGCCAAAGAAUGGUUCGGUGACACGUCUAAUUUUGGGUCACUGCCAUGAGAAAACUCAACACCAAGGCAGAGGGCAAACCCUUAACGAACUGAGAGCUAACGGUUACUGGAUUGUUGGUGGCAGUAAAGUUGUAGCUAACUACAUUAAGCAGUGCGUUACAUGCAGAAGAGCUCGCAGGCCAACAGAAACACAGAAGAUGGCAGACCUACCUGCUAACCGUGUUGAUCCCUCGCCACCGUUUUCCUACUGUGGCAUGGAUUGUUUCGGGCCAUUUCACACCAAGCAAGGCCGUAAAGAGUACAAGAGAUAUGGCCUCAUAUUCACCUGUCUCUCUUCUAGAGCAAUUCAUGUGGAAAUGCUGGAAGACCUUACUACUGAUGCUUUCAUAAAUGCUCUGCGGAGUUUUAUAGCAAUCCGUGGUGCUGUACGAGAAAUCCGGUCAGAUCAAGGCACAAAUUUCAUUGGGGCAAAGAAUGAACUGACGAAGGCACUUAACGAGUUGGACAAAGAGAGACUAACUGCAUACUUAGCCCAAAAACAAUGUGACUUUACAUUCAAUGUACCUGAUGCCAGCCACAUGGGGGGUAUUUGGGAAAGGCAGAUCAGAACAAUUAGGAGUGUCUUAAAUUGGGUCCUCUCUCAAAGUGCUGGCAGAUUAGAUGAUGCUUCCUUAAGAACCUUCCUUUAUGAAGCCAUGUCUAUCAUAAAUUGCCGUCCACUCACCACUGAUACCAUUAAUGACCCAAAGAGCCUAGAGCCUCUUACCCCAAACCACUUGCUCACCAUGAAAGCUUCUGUACCGCUGCCACCACCAGGAAAAUUUGAAGCAGAAGACCUUUAUUCCAAAAAAAGGUGGCGUAGAGUCCAGUACUUGACAGAGCAAUUCUGGGGUAGAUGGAAAAGGGAGUACUUGGCAAACAUAGCACUCAGACAGCGCUGGCAUUCCGCAAAACGAAAUGUAAAAAUCGGAGAUGUUGUCAUUCUCCAAGAGGACGCACUUCCACGCAAUGGCUGGAGACUAGGAAGAGUGCUUGAUGUUCGUACAGAUGAAGAUGGAUUGGUGCGAAAGGUCACAAUUCAAUUAGGCGAUAGAAAGGCGAGUAAAGAGGGCAAAAGCAAAAACAAUAAUUUUUCUAUUCUUGAACGUCCAAUUCAUAAAUUGGUUGUGCUUGUAGAAAACAACUAAAUUUGUGUGGUAAUCUCUAAAUGCAAUAAUGCAUGGAAUUUGAAGUACUCAUUUAACAUGAACAUGGAUAAGUAAAAACACAAUUUGUUCUGAUGUUUGAUUUUGAAAAUUACUGGAUUUAUUCAAACAUUUAUUGAAGUUCAUCAUAAAUCAUAGUAAUUUGAUGGGAGUGUAAAUGUCCGAUGACAUAUUGUAAUGCUUAUUGAUAUGAUUUGUAAAGUUCAUUGAGGUUUUUUGAAACAUGGUUAAAAUACAAUGUUUAGAGAAAAUUGUUGAUUAUAAAUUGUUUAUAUUGUGUUUAAAAAUGAAAAGCUUUUCUGUAUGUAAUGUUCCUUUAAUAAUGCGUAAUGCGUCACAUGACUAAGAGAGGGAGUGAAGAACUGUGGGUCAGAGAGCAAUGGAUGCGAACAGGUCGUAACACGUGCGGCUCCUUCAAAACGUAUAAUCUCUGCAUAUGGUCCUAAAGGCGCACACGUUUUCACGGUGUCUUUCUUAGACCGUGACAUCUUCGGAUCGACACAGGAAAGAGAGAGCAAAAUAAAAGUCUAAAAGACAUCUG